UACAGAGGGUGCAAGCGUUGUUCGGAAUUACUGGGCGUAAAGGGCGUGUAGGCGGUUUAGCAAGUCAGAUGUGAAAUCCCGGGGCUUAACUCCGGAAGUGCAUUUGAAACUGCUAGGCUAGAGUGCAGUAGAGGAUGGCGGAAUACCCAGUGGAGAGGUGAAAUUCGUAGAUAUUGGGUGGAACACCGGUGGCGAAGGCGGCCAUCUGGGCUGUAACUGACGCUGAGGCGCGAGAGCGUGGGGGAGCAAACAGG
rnacentral:rRNA from 1 species